AUAUUUAUACGGAAGGUGUAAUUUUUCGACUUCUUCGAUGCGAUAUUGCAUUCAACAGUUUUUCGAACUUUCCUCCGACUCCCAAUUUGAGAACUGUCAAAUUUGUUGUUUUGGUUGUUUUUAAGCCGCCCAACACGUCGCGGAAGUAUUAUUUUGUUUGCGGGGGAAAAAUACUGCUGCUAGAGUGCUUGUUUGGUGUGGCCAAAGUAAAAUUAUCGCGGUACAGGUUCCGCGUGCCCUGGGUUCCCGUAAGCCACGGAAUAUUUUCAUCUGACAAUCCAGGCUGAACUGUCUUGACGUUUCGAGCGACGGGGUUGUGCUUUUCGAAGUGUUUCUCAAAUUUCGGUGGCCGGAGGCGUGUUUUCGGACCAACGGGUGUAAUUUAACCGGUUUACUUUCGAUGAUCGUUGACUUAAAACGGCGGGGUCAGAUCGGAUUGAGUGGUUGGAACUGCGGGAACUGGAAGAUGAAGUGUUUCGUCUCGAGUCUCAAAAUCCCGUCACCCUACGCCGCAGUCACGGCGGAGACGGAAGUUGUCAUGGAGGACAAACUUUGAAUAUCUGCCACACCGUCACUCCAGACAAAAAGGUCACAAUCCCCAACAUCAAUCAGUUCCUCAAUUAGCCAGUUAGGUCAUGCCUGCUGGGCUCAACCAUCCGGCCUCGGCUGGUUCCAACACAAGCUGAACGACAAGUAGAUCAGCUUGUGGCCCAAAGAUUAUUACAUCAGUCGAACCGCCGGCGCCGACUUUAUGGAAGGAACGUUUCCUUUGCCUUGGCGGUCUAGGCUUCCCUCUCACUAAGUUCCCCCACAAAUCCCUCUGAAGUUCAGCAAACAGUCGGUGCUGCAAACCGUGGAUACUUCUUCUGCGCUAUUGACAGUAUCACCAGAAUCGGAGGCCAAUGAUCCCAUCGAAGCACCAUUUGCAUUCUAGAUCCUGGAACCAUCCCAGCGGCCAUCAACAUGCUCGCUCUAAACCAGCUGGCUGCUGCGGACAAACCUCCGUUAACCUUUCGACACAUUUUUCACUGACUCACGAAUUGCAGAAUUAGCUUCGACAUGAUUCUGAUCGGUAAGGUUCUUAACCGGAAGUUAGGCGCGAAUCCGAUAAGCUCGAUCGGUGUUGUGCAGCAGGUCAAAAAUCGAUCUACCGGUGGGCCGGAUACGGCUGGAAGAUGAACGCCAAGCAUAUUCCAGGCAACAAGGAUAAUCAGGUGGUGAUUAUCGAGCGAAUCCGCACCGACGCUUCUACGAUGUGCUUUAUCCCCGCAACAAGAUCCCGGCACUUCCGGAACCGGUACAUUCCAAUCUCAUAGCAGAAGCUAUAGUGCGUGUUGGACCUUAUGAACACUGACGUCGCCAUCAUCGGGCCGUCGGUUGUCCUGGUUCAAGGUUCCGGCAGCAGCAAUGAAGCAAACGCUUGUCUAGUAACAGCGCCAGCAUAUCAAACAUCUUUCGAAUAAACUGAAAAAGAUUCCGGAUAUUCUCAUCUUUAGUUGCAAACUAUCGCAAUUUUAUGCUAAACCCAUAUAAAAAAAUAAAAUGAUUCAUCUGAAUGUGUUUUGUUUACGUUCGUCGUAUUCAACGACAAUUCGAUAUCUGUCCUCUCAACCCUACAAAAAAUGACAAAAAUUACAUCUUUUUAGUUAUAAUUUUCACUAUUUAGCGGUAAAUUUCAGCAUUUUCAAGGGUAAAUUUACACAUUAUUAGAGGUGAAUUUAC